ensembl:rRNA 5S_rRNA 5S ribosomal RNA
GCUUGCCACACACCAGCCUUGCAGCCCCAGGCUGUGCUCUCAUCACAUUUCCAAGCUAAACAAGCUUGGGCUGGGUCAGUUCGGGGUUGGGAGACCUCCAAGGAAAAGCUGGGGUGUUGGAAAACA